rnacentral:lncRNA from 1 species
GGAAUCGCACAGGGGUGCGUACAAAUGGACCAGGACGCGGAGAGCACGGAAACAACGGUGCUGGGACCUUGUGCACAGAAUCCAGAUGCCAGAUGGGAAUUAAACAUUCGGCCGAGAAAAGCAAUCUAGUUCCCUGGGCUCGACUUUGACUCACUCCUUGGUCUGCACCAAUCCUCACAUCCCUCAGGUCCUCUAACUUUUACGACAGUAUCCAGAAAUCGAUUCUUUGGUCUCUACGGCUCCAGAAGGCUCGCUCAUCAAGAAACGUUCCAUUACCUUCGAUUAGAAGUGGAUACAUAUAUGAUUUUGGCCUAAAAAAAAAUUUGCAAAAAGGGAGAAUGCAAACUUGUCCUUUUCCUUUUGGAUUUACGGAGUGCCAGUAUCAGGUGUGGUUCCAGGUUCCCGUUCCAGGUUCCAGAUAAGGCUGUGCAGAGUCUAUUGAGGAGGAAUCUCUGAAAAUGACAGCUGAUGGGUGUAGAGACCCACGCCCGGAAUCUCAGCAACUGAAGUGGUUGAAGCAGGAGCAUCUGGGCAGAGCUUGAACCAGGAAGCUGAGCGGCACCAUAGGUGUUGCUAACCAAGCAUAGCAGCAUAAUAAAAAUGGAGUGAUUAAAUGUAUUAAGUUUGAAGUA